AUUGAACGCUAGCGGAGUGCCUUACACAUGCAAGUCGAACGGCAGCAGUAAGAGAGCUUGCUCUCUUGAUGGCGAGUGGCGAACGGGUGAGUAAUGUAUCGGAACGUGCCCAGUAGCGGGGGAUAACUACGCGAAAGCGUAGCUAAUACCGCAUACGCCCUACGGGGGAAAGGAGGGGAUCCGCAAGGACCUUUCACUAUUGGAGCGGCCGAUAUCGGAUUAGCUAGUUGGUGAGGUAAGGGCUCACCAAGGCGACGAUCCGUAGCUGGUUUGAGAGGACGACCAGCCACACUGGGACUGAGACACGGCCCAG
rnacentral:rRNA from 1 species